AAAAAAAUGAGAGAAAAAAAGAGAAAAGGAAGCUUACAAGAUAUUAACUAGAGGCACGAGUGAGUAGAUAAGUGAUGCUACGUCGUGUGCAAGUGAUAAGUGAAGAUGGAUUAUAAUUAUCGUACAGUACACACACGCAGUCUUGUUUCCCCAGGGGUGUGUGUCUUACUUUGUUAAACACGCGCCCCAGAGUACAUAUUAAAAAGAAAGGUGAAAAAUAAAUGAAGAUUGAAAGUAAUUAUAAAAAUACUAAUAAUACCGAAAGAGGAAGGAGAAGAAAAAGUGAAAACAAAAGAGAAAGAAGAGGAACAAGAACAAGAAAACUCGUGAAUAAGAAAGAAGACGAAGAAGCAAAUGAAAAAGAAGAAAAUGACUGAAAAAUAAGAAGAAAAUUAUAUUGAAAAAAAGUAUAACAACAGCAACAACAACAACAACAACAACAACAGUGCAAAAUCAAGAAAGGCACUAAAAGCUUUCUGUUUCCAAGGAAAGGAAGAAAAUGCUGGUUAAUUUAGGGCGCCGUUGCAAGGAAGGACUAAUGGCGAGGGAAAGAAAGGCAGGAAUGAGGAAGGACGUAGUAAAGAAGUGAAGAAGUAACACAUACAUAUAUCAAGGAAAGCCGCCGCGCCGCCACUGUGCCGCUGGGGGGUGUCUGUCUGUCUGCGCCCCACACUGGCUGCCGCCCACACACGAUGCACGCGCCGCGCGCCGCCAUGCCGGGUGUCCUGUACUCACGCGAUAUAUGUAUAUUGUGCCAUGAUCAUCUGAAGCGC